ACGGGAGGCAGCAGUGGGGAAUAUUGGACAAUGGGGGAAACCCUGAUCCAGGGACGCCGCGUGAGUGAAGAAGUAUUUCGGUAUGUAAAGCUCUAUCAGCAAGGAAGAAAAUGACGGUACUUGACUAAGAAGCAUCGGCUAACUCCGUGCCAGCAGCCGCGGUAAUACGGAGGAUGCAAGCGUUAUCCGGAUUUAUUGGGUUUAAAGGGUGCGUAGGCGGACUGUUAAGUCAGCGGUGAAAUACCACGGCUCAACCGUGGGGCUGCCGUUGAUACCGGCGGUCUGGAGUACGAUCGGCGCCGGCGGAAUGUGUCAUGUAGCGGUGAAAUGCAUAGAUAUGACACAGAACACCGAUCGCGAAGGCAGCUGGCGAGAACGAUACUGACGCUGAGGCACGAAGGUGCGGGGAUCAAACAGGAUUAGAUACCCUGGUA
rnacentral:rRNA from 1 species